rnacentral:rRNA from 1 species
GAUGAACGCUGGCGGCGUGCCUAAUACAUGCAAGUCGAGCGAACGGACGAGAAGUUUGCUUCUCUGAUGUUAGCGGCGGACGGGAGUGUAACACGUGGAUAACCUACCUAUAAGACUGGGAUAAUUUCGGGAAUCCGUAGCUAAUACCGGAUAAUAUUUUGAACCGUAUGGUUCAAAAGUGAAAGACGGUCUUGCUGUCACUUCUAGAUGGAUACGCGCUGCAUUAGCUAGUUGGUAAGGUAAAGGCUUAUCAAGGCAACGAUGCAUAGCCGACCUGAGAGGGUGAUCGGCCACACUGGAACUUGAACGCGGUCCAGACUCCUACGGUAGGCAGCAGUAGGGAAUCGUCCGCAGUGGGCGAAAGCCUGGCGGAGCGACGCCGCGUGAGUUAUGAAGGUCUUCGGUUCGUAAUACUCUGUUAUUAGUGAAGAACAUAUGUGUAAUUAGCUGUACACAUCUUGACGGUACCUAAUCAGAAAGCCACGGCUAACUACGUG